UGGCUGGGAGGCGGGAGGGAGCCCGCUCCUGUUGUUUUCCGCCGGCAGGAGUGGGCAGGCGGGCGCAGGGGGCGGGGUGCGCCCUCCCUCCCCGGCCAGGGCGCUCGGGAGCGGGGACCCGAGCCUGCAGCCGAGCUCCGCUGCCGGCCCUGGACACUCGGCUCAGCCAAGCAUCCUUCCUGGGGGCCACUCUGCCGUUCCGAGGACCUGGGAGGAGCCCUCGGUACCCCGGGCCCCGGGGCCCUGGGGCACACACGUCCAGCCCAGCCCGAGCCUGCGUUUCCUGAGCCGGGAUCUGGGGCGAGAUGGCCGCAGGCGGCAGUGCGCCCGAGCCCCGCGUCCUCGUCUGCCUCGGGGCGCUCCUGGCCGGCUGGGUCGCCGUAGGUUGAACUCGCCUUACACCUGUAACCGGUGGACUUCCCUACACACCUUUGCAAGUCUUCCUGUGCCGACCAGCGCCUUCAAAGCGGGGUCUUCCGCCUUUACUUUUGGAAAAGCUUUUUAUUUUGAAAUACUUGGCUGACUUAUAAAAGACUUCCCCUCACACUUGACAUGAUUGACAAAAGGUCUGAAAUGCUUCAUCUAUGGUCUGCUUUGCUACGAAAAAAGAAUUGGGGGGGGUGCUUACAAAAAUAUGUAGAAUGUAAAAAGAUUGAACUAUUUAUAUAUAUUUGAAUUUAAUUCACCAGCAUGCCUACUGUGUG
rnacentral:sRNA from 1 species